GGAAGUAAAAGUCGUAACAAGGUUUCCGUAGGUGAACCUGCGGAAGGAUCAUUAUAGAGUACCUGCCCAUUGGGUAGAUCUCCCACCCUUUGUUUACAAUACCUUUGUUGCUUUGGCAGGCCCGUCUUUUUGACCACUGGCUUCGGCUGGUCAGCGCCUGCCAGAGGACCCCAAACUCUUGAUUUUUGGCAUUGUCUGAACUACAUAAAUAGUUAAAACUUUCAACAACGGAUCUCUUGGUUCUGGCAUCGAUGAAGAACGCAGCGAAAUGCGAUAAGUAAUGUGAAUUGCAGAAUUCAGUGAAUCAUCGAAUCUUUGAACGCACAUUGCACCCCCUGGUAUUCCAAGGGGUAUGCCUGUUCGAGCGUCAUUGCAACCCUCAAGCUCUGCUUGGUAUUGGAUGUCACUCUAUUGGUGCAUCUUAAAAUCAGUGGCGGUGCCAUCUGGCUUCAAGCGUAGUAACAUUUCUCGCUUUGGAAGUUUGGGUGUGUGCUCUUGCCAACAACCCUCUAAAUUUAUCAAAGGUUGACCUCGGAUCAGGUAGGGAUACCCGCUGAACUUAAGCAUAUCAAUAAGCGGAGGAAUCGUGGAUAC
rnacentral:rRNA from 1 species